AACGAACGCUGGCGGCAGGCUUAACACAUGCAAGUCGAGCGCCCCGCAAGGGGAGCGGCCGACGGGUGAGUACCGCGUGGGAACGUACCUUUUGGUUCGGAACAACUCCGGGAAACUGGAGCUAAUACCGGAUAAGCCCUAACGGGGAAAGAUUUAUCGCCGAAAGAUCGGCCCGCGUCUGAUUAGCUAGUUGGUGAGGUAACGGCUCACCAAGGCGACGAUCAGUAGCUGGUCUGAGAGGAUGAUCAGCUACACUGGGACUGAGACACGGCCCAGACUCCUACGGGAGGCAGCAGUGGGGAAUAUUGGACAAUGGGCGCAAGCCUGAUCCAGCCAUGCCGCGUGAGUGAUGAAGGCCUUAGGGUUGUAAAGCUCUUUUGUCCGGGAAGAUAAUGACUGUACCGGAAGAAUAAGCCCCGGCUAACUUCGUG
rnacentral:rRNA from 1 species